UACGGGGGGGGGCAAGCGUUGUUCGGAAUUACUGGGCGUAAAGGGCGUGUAGGCGGCCAACUAAGUCCGACGUGAAAUCCCCAGGCUUAACCUGGGAACUGCGUCGGAUACUGGAUGGCUUGAAUCCGGGAGAGGGAUGCGGAAUUCCAGGUGUAGCGGUGAAAUGCGCAGAUAUCAGGAGGAACACCAGUGGCGAAGGCGGCUCUCUGGGCAGAUACUGACGCUGAGACGCGAAAGCGUGGGUAGCAAACAGG
rnacentral:rRNA from 1 species